AGUGAUUACUUAUUAUAUGCUAAGCAUGACAUGCAUUUGCAUAUGCAUUUUUGCAAAUAAAAGUACUCAUGAUUUAAAUUGGUUUUCAUUAUAAUUCCAAUUAUUAAAGAAAGUCGAGUAAGAAUAUUGUUGGUGUUCUUAACUCAAGAGAAAUGUUUUCAAUUAUUUAUUCAUUAAAUUUUGAAAACCCGGCUAAGUGAAUCAUAGAAUAUUAAGCACUACACCAUGACUUAAGAUUAGAUUCAAGGAGACCUAUUGAGAAUAGAUUUCUUGUAGGCUUUGAGCAUCAGAAGGAUUAGCACUGCUAUUCCGAAUCAAAGAUAAGGUUAAACGACAGGCUUUGCCUAUACAGGUUGGCUGGCUGGUGCUGACGGGACGGAGCUGAGGCUAGAGUUAAAAUUCAUAUGUUAGACUUCCGCUGUAGCAAUUACUCUUAUACAUCUUUUGUUUUCUCAACUUAAGAUGACUUCAUGUCGAGCUUAAAUUUGAAAUUCUAGUUUUAUGCUAAUGAAUGUUGGUUGUCAGAAGCAUGAAACAAAACUUGUGAUCCAAAGGGGCAUAGCCCGACUUUCUAUCAUAUU